UUUCCGUAGGUGAACCUGCGGAAGGAUCAUUAAUGUAACCGGACCGGUCCUCUGCCGUCAAACGCAGCGGAUUGUAAUGGGAGAUAUCAUACACCCCUAUGUUUAUUUACUUUUGUUGCUUUGGCGGGCCGUCCUUCUAGGCGUAGGCCCCGGCUGAUCCCGCCCGCCAGAGGACCCAAACUCUUUUAUCCGUGAUGUCUGAGUACUAUAUAAUAGUUAAAACUUUCAACAACGGAUCUCUUGGUUCUG
rnacentral:misc_RNA from 1 species